rnacentral:tRNA from 1 species
GCGGGGUUGGUAUAGUGGUCGUGCCCCGGCUUCCCAAGCCGGUGACACGGGUUCAAUUCCCGUACCCCGCUCCA